GCAAGUCGAACGAACCCUUCGGGGUGAGUGGCGCACGGGUGCGUAACGCGUGGGAACCUGCCUUUAGGUUCGGAAUAACAGUUAGAAAUGACUGCUAAUACCGAAUAAUGUCUUCGGACCAAAGAUUUAUCGCCUUAGAUUGGGCCCGCGUUAGAUUAGAUAGUUGGUGGGGUAAUGGCCUACCAAGUCGACGAUCUAUAGCUGGUCUGAGAGGAUGAUC
rnacentral:rRNA from 1 species